rnacentral:rRNA from 1 species
GGGGCUGAGGCAGUAUGAAUGACAUACCCGGCGAACGAACUCUGAUAUUGAUUGGUGCUUGAAUCAUGAUUUACAUUUGAGUGAGUGGCGAACUGGUGAGUAACACGUGGGAAACCUGCCCAGAAGCGGGGGAAAACACCUGGAAACAGAUGCUAAUACCGCAUAACAACUUGGACCGCAUGGUCGAGGUUUGAAAGAGGGCUUCGGCUAUCACUUUUGGAUGGUCCCGCGGCGUAUUAGCUAGAGGGGGAGGUAACGGCUCACCAUGGCAAUGAUACGUAGCCGACCUGAGAGGGUAAUCGGCCACAUUGGGACUGAGACACGGCCCAAACUCCUACGGGAGGCAGCAGUAGGGAAUCUUCCACAAUGGACGAAAGUCUGAUGGAGCAACGCGCGUGAGUGAUGAAGGGUUUCGGCUCGUAAAACUCUGUUGUUAAAGAAGAACAUAUCUGAGAGAAAUGUUCAGGUAUUGACGGUAUUUAACCAGAAAGCCACGGCUAACUACGUGCCAGCAGCGCGGUAAUUGUG